UACGAAGGGGGCUAGCGUUGCUCGGAAUCACUGGGCGUAAAGCGCACGUAGGCGGAUUGCUAAGUCAGGGGUGAAAUCCUGGAGCUCAACUCCAGAACUGCCUUUGAUACUGGCGACCUUGAGUCCGGGAGAGGUGAGUGGAACUGCGAGUGUAGAGGUGAAAUUCGUAGAUAUUCGGAAGAACACCAGUGGCGAAGGGCGGCUC
rnacentral:rRNA from 1 species